rnacentral:lncRNA from 1 species
CACAACCAACUGGGAAAAUAAAAGUAAAAUAGGUUCAAUUAUAUAUUCUCAUUCAACAGGAUACAACAUAUAUACUCAUUCUCUACAUAGAACAUUAUGUAUAAAGAGGGCAGAAUAUAAAUCAACAACAAAGAUGAAAACAUUAUAUUUACAAAAGAUUAUUAGAGAUAAUACAACCAUAAAGAUCAAUCCUUUUUCCAGAAAACAUUAUAUCGAACAUUAUAUCGAACACACAAACGGCCACAGAAAUAUUACUUUGAUUACAAAGCCCAUUAAUCAAAGUUGAAAAAAUUACAACAUCAGGCUCAACACCUAACUUCAGCAUUUUCCCCAAAACAGAAAACCCAAAAUCAAUUCGACCUAAUUGACAAAAGCAGUUAAUCAAGAUGCUCACAGAAUAAACAUCAUGGGAAACGCCUAAUAAUUCCAUCUGGCUACACAUAGAAACAACAAUGGCAUAAUGUUUCAUUCUAAUAAUGGUUGCAAAUAAUUUAGUGAAUUCCACAAUUGAACGCUUUGGGUACUUUUCAAUCAUCUUUUUGAACAAACUCAAAACAUGAUCAACAUUAUCGAAGCGGUGGUCUGUUUUUCCCUUUCCUCUAACAGGCAUGGACAUAGGUUUCUUACUUAGGCAGUCGAUGUGGGUAGCAAUGGUGUUAGAAGAAGAAGAAAAAGAGCAGAAAUUAGAAAGAUGGCUUCCAGCAUUAACAACCGAACGAAGAAUAAAAGAAGAAGGAAGCUUACCCAUCAUUUGAAAGCAGAAAUGGCAGCGGCAGUAGCAGCCAAAAUGAAAUGAAAAAUAAACGGAGCAUAAAAGCCAAAAAGAAAUGAAAAAUAAACGAAGUAACCGUCGAAAAAUAGAAUUGCAACGUACCAACAGCGGUUUCCAGUUCUGAACCAAAAUGAAGCUUUCAAGAACAGAAAUUUGAAGGAAUGAAGGAAGGGAGAAGAAUGGAUGAAGGGAGCUUACUGGAUGAAGGGAGAAGAAUGGAUGAAGGGAGAAGAAUGCCUGAGAGCUUUAGGAAAAUGUCGUACGGAGAUUGAAUCGGUAAGACAAUUUCCCAAAAAUUGUAAGGCAUUUUCCCGUGUUUUGGAGUUGAUUUUCCAAAAGGAAAAUAUUUUCCUCCAAUCAAACACUG